rnacentral:lncRNA from 1 species
UGGGCACCCAGAAGAAUGAGAGCUGACAUUGAGGGAUACAAAGUGGGAAGUAUGAGAAGACAAUGUCACGAAGCAUGCCUCAGAUCAAAUUCAGAGCUUAUUCACUAGUCAAGCAUGAGUCCUGCUAACAAAGAAUGAAGUAGAAGAGCAGGUGACCAGAGGCUGUUUUGUCUGAAAUCCAAGGAUUCUAGAAGCUGUAGUUCUAGAAUGGCUGCAUCUGCAACUCUUUACACCUAAACUAAAGCUGUUCAGACCUGUGCUGUAAUGUGGGAUUACCAGCCUCCAGGAUCCCAUUGCCUUAUUUUCUCUAGCUUAUCAACAAUGGAAAAAUACAACAAUUUCCCCCGUGGAUCAUGUUAUUUUGCUGAUGUGAGUUGAAGUUUCAGAAGAUGGGGAAAAAAGGAAUGAAGAAAAUAUUAUCAAAUCUGCUUCUUCAGCAAAAUGUAAGUGUGACCAAAAGGCUGAAUGCGUGCAGGGAUUGUACUAUAUGCUAAGAUAAUUUGGAAAACAUUCACAUCUUGAUUUUCUUUCAGAUAAACCCCCUAACAUUUGCAUUAUUUUCUAAUCAUCAUCUAAACCGUUUGAACUAUUGACAUUAGUGAAAUUGUGUGGAAAAGUCAAGAUACAGGUUGUCAUGUGAUUCACAGUGCUUCCUCUUUCUGCUCAGUCAUAAAAUACACUCUGACUGUAGCCUUUGUCACACUGCUUAGGACACGUCUGAUCUCAUUUGAAGCCUAGAAUGUAGACAGAUUGUUUUUUUCCAUCAUUAGUCCUGGUUUUUGAGUAUUCCUCAAAAAAAAAAAAAAACCUCAACACCUAAACAAACUUUGGUUG